CUACUUUAUUCUCCUUAUGCGCGACAUUCAUAUUAGAAAUGGGAUAAUUAUAAUGUGGCAUUAAUUAGAUAGAUGAGAAAAGGUAUAAUCAAUUUUCACAUUGAAAAUAGUUUCAAGUCCAAAUUAAAUUAUUUAAAAUAUUAUGUUCAAUCUGAUUUAAAUGUUCUAUGGAUAAGAUCAAUUUAAAAGACAGCCCUUUUACCAUUUAAAUGGCA
rnacentral:lncRNA from 1 species